rnacentral:rRNA from 1 species
UACGUAGGGUGCAAGCGUUAAUCGGAAUUACUGGGCGUAAAGGGUGCGCAGGCGGUUUGGUAAGUCAGCGGUGAAAUCCCCGGGCUCAACCUGGGAAUGGCCGAUGAGACUGUCAGGCUAGAGUGUGUCAGAGGGGGGUAGAAUUCCACGUGUAGCAGUGAAAUGCGUAGAGAUGUGGAGGAAUACCGAUGGCGAAGGCAGCCCCUGGGAUAACACUGACGCUCAAGCACGAAAGCGUGGGGAGCAAACAGG